rnacentral:ncRNA from 2 species
AAGAAGAAUGUGGGAGAGAUUCGAUCAAGGCCUAAGAAACCAUAGGUAAUGAUUGGACGCCGAAGGAAGAAGCUAGAGAAAUUGCCCUUUUCUAGUGAAAAUCUCAGGCAAAAGGACCGUAUUUGGACA